ACAGCAUCAUGUUCUCAACACUGAAUCACUUCCUGCUAAAUUAGGACCACCUAACUUUAAUGUUGGGUGUGUCGCUUCCCCUUUACUCAUGUUUUGGCAUUUCCACUUAGUUUAACGUAGCAGAGCCCAGCCCAUGUCCUGGACACAGUUCAGACUCUAACUCAGCGAAGCGAAUGCAGCAAACACAAGUAAACCAGACCAUGGAAAACAAGCUUUUUGCACUUAAUCUGGGAAUAUAUUGACACAUUUCGAGUAAAGAAUGGAAACAAUAAGAAUUUUGAGAAGUAGAUCUUCUGGACGGUUCGCAUUGACAUUUUAACUGUCUGUUUAUGCAGUUUUGAGAUUUACUCUACAGUUUUAUAGCCUGGCAAGCCAUGUGAAUAUAUCGUUCUGAGGGAUGAGAUGAUGGAGAACUCCAACCCCUGCAGCUGGAACAAACCCAGUGGGAUUGUGGUUGCUGCUCAGGCUGUGGGAAUGCUCUCACUUUCUGUUGUUUGGGACGUUCCCUCCUUCGGCGCUCCUCAGAAGAUGUGUUGCUUGUGUUCGACUCAACUUUUCUCAUCCGAGGCAAACAUUUGCAGAUUUGAACACAUCUGAAGAGGAACGACUGAAGAUUGGAGGAAAAAGCUGCAAAGACACUGAAUAUUUGAUGUUUUUGUUGUUUCCUGUGCUACUUAAAGCUUUCUGGUUGUUAAUUUCAUUUAGAAAUGAGGAGAAAAUAGAGAUUAUGAAGAGAAAAUGGGUCAAACAGCUUUAAAUCACUAGCAUAGUAUAUUCGAUGCAUAUCUCAAAGACUUACUGGCAGUUUUUUGUCACACAGAAGCAAACACUGGUGCAUUUGACAUGAGAGGUUUUCCUGCUGCUUUCUGCCUCCCAUUACAGAAUUCCAGACAUUUUUCCCUGCCUUCUGUCAUGGAGCAUCACUGUUGCUGCAUGCAAAUGAUCAGCAUUUAUGGAACAGAUACAGUAAUCUGUAUAUGGUCCAGUUCAGUGCCUCAGUAGCCGUGGAUGUAAAAGUAACAUUUAUUGAAAAUAAACAAAAUGGUCAAAUAUCUAAACUGAUUAAAAUCUAUGAUUGAAUCUUUAAUCCUUUAAUGACAACCAGCAUUAAUGUAAUCAGACUCGGCAGAAUUACUCUUCCUCGUUUUGACGGCAGCAGAUCCCCCAGAGGCACGGACACGCUCCAGAGGAAGUAAGCGUUUGUUUUCUGCAGCCCAGCGUUUUGAUUUUAAACCAGCCUUCUGUUUCUGCUCAUUUUUCUUUUGUUUUCCUUCAGAAUUCCCCUUUGAGUUCCCAAAUUUUCACAAGAAUUUUUUUUGCUUGUGUGCAGAAUCUUCCUCUCACGAGGAAAAGGGUUAUUUUCUGAUUCCAGGACGCAAGAGAACAACAGUAAUCUGCAUCCUCACAGGCAGCCAUGACAGGAGACUUUCAUCGUGGUGAAAUAUACUUUUCCCAGCUUGGUUCCAUUAUGACCUGCUCAAUAUUUACAACAAGAGGAAGAAAUAAAUAAAGUUAUUACGUCUGAUGACUUUCAGCAGGAUGACGAGCACUGAUGAUAAAAAAGUAUCACUAGGGAGAGAUGAAAGUUUGGUUGACAUCUUACAGUAAGACUCUAUUAAAUAUUAAAGUAUUAACACCCUAAUCAUACUAUGUAAUGCAU